AACGCUUCUUUUUCCACCGGAGCUUGCUCCACCGGAAAAAGAGGAGUGGCGAACGGGUGAGUAACACGUGGGUAACCUGCCCAUCAGAAGGGGAUAACACUUGGAAACAGGUGCUAAUACCGUAUAACAAUCAAAACCGCAUGGUUUUGAUUUGAAAGGCGCUUUCGGGUGUCGCUGAUGGAUGGACCCGCGGUGCAUUAGCUAGUUGGUGAGGUAACGGCUCACCAAGGCCACGAUGCAUAGCCGACCUGAGAGGGUGAUCGGCCACAUUGGGACUGAGACACGGCCCAAACUCCUACGGGAGGCAGCAGUAGGGAAUCUUCGGCAAUGGACGAAAGUCUGACCGAGCAACGCCGCGUGAGUGAAGAAGGUUUUCGGAUCGUAAAACUCUGUUGUUAGAGAAGAACAAGGAUGAGAGUAACUGUUCAUCCCUUGACGGUAUCUAACCAGAAAGCCACGGCUAACUACGUGCCAGCAGCCGCGGUAAUACGUAGGUGGCAAGCGUUGUCCGGAUUUAUUGGGCGUAAAGCGAGCGCAGGCGGUUUCUUAAGUCUGAUGUGAAAGCCCCCGGCUCAACCGGGGAGGGUCAUUGGAAACUGGGAGACUUGAGUGCAGAAGAGGAGAGUGGAAUUCCAUGUGUAGCGGUGAAAUGCGUAGAUAUAUGGAGGAACACCAGUGGCGAAGGCGGCUCUCUGGUCUGUAACUGACGCUGAGGCUCGAAAGCGUGGGGAGCAAACAGGAUUAGAUACCCUGGUAGUCCACGCCGUAAACGAUGAGUGCUAAGUGUUGGAGGGUUUCCGCCCUUCAGUGCUGCAGCUAACGCAUUAAGCACUCCGCCUGGGGAGUACGACCGCAAGGUUGAAACUCAAAGGAAUUGA
rnacentral:rRNA from 1 species